rnacentral:rRNA from 1 species
UACGUAGGUGGCAAGCGUUGUCCGGAAUUAUUGGGCGUAAAGCGCGCGCAGGCGGUCUCUUAAGUCUGAUGUGAAAGCCCACGGCUCAACCGUGGAUGGUCAUUGGAAACUGGGGGACUUGAGUACAGAAGUGGAGAGUGGAAUUCCACGUGUAGCGGUGAAAUGCGUAGAUAUGUGGAGGAACACCAGUGGCGAAGGCGGCUCUCUGGUCUGUAACUGACGCUGAGGCGCGAAAGCGUGGGUAGCAAACAGG